rnacentral:rRNA from 1 species
CCUACGGGAGGCAGCAGUGGGGAAUAUUGGACAAUGGGCGAAAGCCUGAUCCAGCCAUGCCGCGUGUGUGAAGAAGGCCUUCGGGUUGUAAAGCACUUUCAGUGGGGAAGAAAGCCUUGGGGCUAAUACCCUCGAGGAAGGACAUCACCCACAGAAGAAGCACCGGCUAACUCCGUGCCAGCAGCCGCGGUAAUACGGAGGGUGCGAGCGUUAAUCGGAAUUACUGGGCGUAAAGCGCGCGUAGGCGGUCUGAUAAGCCGGUUGUGAAAGCCCCGGGCUCAACCUGGGAACGGCAUCCGGAGUGGUGGGGUAAGAGGGGGGGAGGGGAGGGGAAAAUCCCGGGGGGAGGGGGGAAGAGCGGAGUGAUGGGGAGGAUGACGGGGGGAAGCGGGGGUCUUAAGCACGGACAGUGACCCGGGGGGGCGAAGGAGGAGGAAGAACACGGGAUUAAAAACCCCUGACGGG